CUACAAGGGUUUCUAAUCCUGUUUGCUCCCCACGCUUUCGUGCAUGAGCGUCAGUACAGGUCCAGGGGAUUGCCUUCGCCAUCGGUGUUCCUCCGCAUAUCUACGCAUUUCACUGCUACACGCGGAAUUCCAUCCCCCUCUACCGUACUCUAGCUAUGCAGUCACAAAUGCAGUUCCCAGGUUAAGCCCGGGGAUUUCACACCUGUCUUACAUAACCGCCUGCGCACGCUUUACGCCCAGUAAUUCCGAUUAACGCUUGCACCCUACGUAUUACCGCGGCUGCUGGCAC
rnacentral:rRNA from 1 species